GCUGCCCCUAGAAGCUUUGCAGGUGUGGUUGUUGGGUCACAUGUGCAUCAGUAGGUGGCAAAGAGGAAACGGGCCAUGUCUACACUCAGUAAUCUAACCUCUAAACAUCUGAAUGACCAGUGACCUAAUAUU